GUUUAGGUAGUUUAAUUAAAAUAUUGAUUUGUGGUAUCAAAGAUAUAAUAUUUAUCCUAGGCU
rnacentral:tRNA from 1 species